rnacentral:rRNA from 1 species
GAUGAACGCUAGCUACAGGCUUAACACAUGCAAGUCGAGGGACCGGCGCACGGGUGAGUAACACGUAUCCAACCUGCCCUUUACUCGGGGAUAGCCUUUCGAAAGAAAGAUUAAUACCCGAUAUAAAGGAUGGGGAUGCGUUCCAUUAGGUUGUUGGUGAGGUAACGGCUCACCAAGCCUUCGAUGGAUAGGGGUUCUGAAAGGAAGGUCCCCCACAUUGGAACUGGGUGACGUUCCAUACUCCUACACGAGGAAGAAGUGAGUAAGAGUGGGCAAUGGGCGCUAGCCUGAAACAGCCAAGUAGCGUGAAGGAUGAAGGCUUAUGGGUCGUAAACUUCUUUUAUAUAAGAAUAUGUAUUGUAUGAAUAAGGAUCAGCUAACUCCGUGCCAGCAGCCGCGGUAAUUC